GCAGAGCACUCCGUACGGGAGGCAGCAGUGGGGAAUAUUGCACAAUGGGCGCAAGCCUGAUGCAGCCAUGCCGCGUGUAUGAAGAAGGCCUUCGGGUUGUAAAGUACUUUCAGCAGUGAGGAAGGUGGGUAUGUUAAUAGCAUACUCAUUUGACGUUAGCUGCAGAAGAAGCACCGGCUAACUCCGUGCCAGCAGCCGCGGUAAUACGGAGGGUGCGAGCGUUAAUCGGAAUUACGUGGGCGUAAAGCGCAUGCAGGUGGUUUGUUAAGUCAGAUGUAGAAAGGCCCGGGGCCGUCACGCCGUACGGAAUUGCUAUUUAGAAACUGGACAAACUAGAGUACUGUAGAGGGGGUAGAAUUUCAGGUGUAGCGGUGAAAAUGCGUAGAGAUCUGAAGGAAUACCGGUGGCGAAGGCGGCCCCCUGGACAGAUACUGACACUCAGAUGCGAAAGCGUGGGGAGCAAACAGGAUUAGAUACCCUGGUAG
rnacentral:rRNA from 1 species